rnacentral:misc_RNA from 1 species
UUAAAUUUCUUUAUUAAUUUUUUAUAUAUAAUUUAUAUUAAAUAUAAAAAUAUAUUUUUUAAAUAAAAAGACGAUAAGACCCUAUUAAAUUUUACUUAUAGUUUAACUGGGGAAGUUUUAAAAAUAAAAUUUUUUAUAAAAAUAAAAAUAAAUCUAAUAAAAUUAAAAUUAAAUUAAAUUACUAUAGGGAUAACAGCAUUAUAUUUUUUAAAAGUUCAUAUUAAAAAAAAUGAUUGUGACCUCGAUGUUGAAUUAUAUUUUCUUUAUUAAUGCAAUAAUUAUAAAAGUAGAUCUGUUCGAUCUUUAAAAUAUUACAUGAUUUGAGUUCAAACCGGUGUAAACCAGGUUGGUUUCUAUCUUUUUAUAAAUUCAUAUAUAUAUAUAUAUAUAUAUAAAUUUUUCAAGUACGAAAGGAAAAAAAAAUUUUUAUUUUAAUUAAUUAGCAAUUAAUAUGCAUUAGAUUUAGAAUCUAAAUAAACUAUUAUU